ACUGGGUCUAAUACUGGAUACUACCUCUUACCGCAUGGUGGGUGGUGGAAAGGGUUUUACUGGUUUUGGAUGGGCUCACGGCCUAUCAGCUUGUUGGUGGGGUAAUGGCUCACCAAGGCGACGACGGGUAGCCGGCCUGAGAGGGUGACCGGCCACACUGGGACUGAGACACGGCCCAGACUCCUACGGGAGGCAGCAGUGGGGAAUAUUGCACAAUGGGCGGAAGCCUGAUGCAGCGACGCCGCGUGAGGGAUGACGGCCUUCGGGUUGUAAACCUCUUUCAGUAGGGAAGAAGCGAGAGUGACGGUACCUGCAGAAGAAGCGCCGGCUAACUACGUGCCAGCAGCCGCGGUAAUACGUAGGGCGCAAGCGUUGUCCGGAAUUAUUGGGCGUAAAGAGCUCGUAGGCGGUUUGUCGCGUCUGCUGUGAAAGCCCGGGGCUCAACCCCGGGUCUGCAGUGGGUACGGGCAGACUAGAGUGCAGUAGGGGAGACUGGAAUUCCUGGUGUAGCGGUGAAAUGCGCAGAUAUCAGGAGGAACACCGAUGGCGAAGGCAGGUCUCUGGGCUGUUACUGACGCUGAGGAGCGAAAGCAUGGGGAGCGAACAGGAUUAGAUACCCUGGUAGUCCAUGCCGUAAACGUUGGGCACUAGGUGUGGGGGACAUUCCACGUUUUCCGCGCCGUAGCUAACGCAUUAAGUGCCCCGCCUGGGGAGUACGGCCGCAAGGCUAAAACUCAAAGGAAUUGACGGGGGCCCGCACAAGCGGCGGAGCAUGCGGAUUAAUUCGAUGCAACGCGAAGAACCUUACCAAGGCUUGACAUUCACCGGACCGCCCCAGAGAUGGGGUUUCCCUUCGGGGCUGGUGGACAGGUGGUGCAUGGUUGUCGUCAGCUCGUGUCGUGAGAUGUUGGGUUAAGUCCCGCAACGAGCGCAACCCUCGUUCUAUGUUGCCAGCACGUGAUGGUGGGGACUCAUAGGAGACUGCCGGGGUCAACUCGGAGGAAGGUGGGGAUGACGUCAAAUCAUCAUGCCCCUUAUGUCUUGGGCUUCACGCAUGCUACAAUGGCCGGUACAAAGGGUUGCGAUACUGUGAGGUGGAGCUAAUCCCAAAAAGCCGGUCUCAGUUCGGAUUGAGGUCUGCAACUCGACCUCAUGAAGUCGGAGUCGCUAGUAAUCGCAGAUCAGCAACGCUGCGGUGAAUACGUUCCCGGGCCUUGUACACA
rnacentral:rRNA from 1 species